UUUAGAUUAGUAAAUUUAAAAAAAUUCUCUCUGCACUUUAAAUAAAGGGCUAAUGAAUAAAAAUAAAUAAAUUAUGAUUUAACUGAUUUUUCAUGCAGAAACUUAUCAAAGUCUGUGACCUUUAAAACGACAUACCGUAUGAAACAUUAACUAAAUUGACAGAACAAUGCAGGUAUAAUGGAUUUUCCUGCUCAUCUCUUUCAGUUGGUCCUCACAAGAGGAGAGGACCACAAAAAGACAUCCUCAGCGCUCACAUACAAACACUCACGGGCUAUACAAACUUUCUCUUGUGAAUUUGCUGAGAGUGGUUUAAAGGGAUGCUUUCCUUGUGCUAGGAGAGUGUUUGAAGUUUCAUAACAAAGCAUGUGCAGUUUGUGAGUAUGUGUGUGUACGAGAGGUUGUGUGGUUGUGGUAAUGUACCGUCAUCGGUACUCCACAUGAACUGGUUAUGAAACUAUCUCAUCAUGUGGGGGUGUGAAUUAAUCACUUCAGCUUGCAGUGACUUACACUUUGCACAUACAUACAUAUACAUGGUCACACAGCCCAUAAUGUACACUUUCUCUACACAAUGUACACAAAUCCCUAAUGGUAUACAGAUACUAGCUGGUGGUACUAAUAAAAAAAACUUGCAAACUAAAAUAACCAGUGUAGUUCUAUGAUCACAUUCAUGAAUAAAAGUAAUGAUGCGUACACUAAUUUAAAAAAAAGGAAAGAAAGAAAGAAAAGAAAGCAACACAAAAUGUGCAACACAAAAAAAUAAAGAGAAAAUCUGAUUUCAGGCUCACCAAAAAUUCAGCCAAAUCCCUGGAGAUGAUGUUUGAUGGUUACACAGUGUUCAGACACAUCUCUUUGACUCAUCUCUGAAAAAGUCAGCUCACAUUUUGAGGAUAAUGUAAAGCUUUUGUUCUAACUAGUGCAGUCACUUUUUUAUGUAUUAGGAAUUCAUAGCAUCUGUAACUUAAAAAACUUGAAAAAAAAUAUUCACAAGUGUAAUGAUUUCUAAUGGGACACCUGAUUAACUGUGAUUCUGAACAUUUCAUAUUUU
ensembl:lncRNA